rnacentral:rRNA from 1 species
CGCAGAAGAAGCACCGGCUAACUCCGUGCCAGCAGCCGCGGUAAUACGGAGGGUGCAAGCGUUAAUCGGAAUUACUGGGCGUAAAGCGCGCGUAGGUGGCUUGAUAAGCCGGUUGUGAAAGCCCCGGGCUCAACCUGGGAACGGCAUCCGGAACUGUCAGGCUAGAGUGCAGGAGAGGAAGGUAGAAUUCCCGGUGUAGCGGUGAAAUGCGUAGAGAUCGGGAGGAAUACCAGUGGCGAAGGCGGCCUUCUGGACUGACACUGACACUGAGGUGCGAAAGCGUGGGUAGCAAACAGGAUUAGAUACCCUGGUAGUCCACGCCGUAAACGAUGUCGACCAGCCGUUGGGUGCCUAGAGCACUUUGUGGCGAAGUUAACGCGAUAAGUCGACCGCCUGGGGAGUACGGCCGCAAGGUUAAAACUCAAAUGAAUUGACGGGGGCCCGCACAAGCGGUGGAGCAUGUGGUUUAAUUCGAUGCAACGCGAAGAACCUUACCUACCCUUGACAUCUACAGAAGCCGGAAGAGAUUCUGGUGUGCCUUCGGGUACUGUAAGACAGGUGCUGCAUGGCUGUCGUCAGCUCGUGUUGUGAAAUGUUGGGUUAAGUCCCGUAACGAGCGCAACCCUUGUCCUUAUUUGCCAGCACGUAAUGGUGGGAACUCUAAGGAGACUGCCGGUGACAAACCGGAGGAAGGUGGGGACGACGUCAAGUCAUCAUGGCCCUUACGGGUAGGGCUACACACGUGCUACAAUGGCCGGUACAAAGGGCUGCGAGCUCGCGAGAGUCAGCGAAUCCCUUAAAGCCGGUCUCAGUCCGGAUCGGAGUCUGCAACUCGACUCCGUGAAGUCGGAAUCGCUAGUAAUCGUGAAUCAGAAUGUCACGGUGAAUACGUUCCCGGGCCUUGUACACACCGCCCGUC